UGUCUGCCCCAGCCCCGGGGACAGAGACCCACUUUGAUCCCCUCUCGCAGCUGUGACGCGAGCACUUCAAACGGAGGGAGAAGGAAGUAUCGUGUGGAGAGCCGUCUGGAUUCCCAGGGCCAAGGCGGCUGUCUUCCCGGGGCUCUCACUAAGAAUUCAGAGGCUUCUUCCCGUGAACACGAGCCCCCGAGGUGCAGAAGCCCCGCGAUGCAAGGCCUGGAAGAGGUCUGAGCCCGAAGCGGGAGAGCUGUGAGGGCAGAUCGGCCGCCGAGCGGGACAACACGUGUGACUCGCCCCCUGGGGGCACCUGGCCACAGGACGGGAGGCACGAGUGCAGGGCGGGCCCCAGGGGGGCAACGGAAGCAAGGGCAGCAGGACAGAGACCACGUGUGUGGAAAGACGCUCAAGAGAGAGCAGCAGCCUCAGCAGACCGCGUCGCAGCGUCCAGAACGUGCAGCCGUCCCAGCAGAGGGAGAGGAGAGGACGAAAGCCCAGAGAAGGAGGCACGGCUUCUCUGGACUCGCCUCGCAAACUACAGGGCCCUGGGGACACGUCACUGGCUAGAAGACUGGUGGCCACGUCUCUUUCAGUUCUGAGUGACAGGGGUGCCCACAUUUCUACAAAUCAAAUAUCCAUCUGUCAGACUGAGUUGAACCAGAUUUCCAUGAUGUGGAAAAAAAUGCUCGAGAGAAUUGCAGAUAAAGCCAUCAAAAUUAUGUUCCACCUGUGGCCAUGGCCAAGCAAAACCUGCCAGUUCUAUCCCAUGGCGGAUCUGGUGACAGCUCUCAUCACUUGGCUUUGCCUGCUUCGUUCCGCCUUCCUCAGUUUCACUCCAGGCUGGAUUUUCUCCAAGACCCUGUAGGCUCACGCAUCAGGUGAAUUCAAGAGAUGAGAAGUUCCCUAAAAGGAUCUGAGCCUAUUUCACAGGCAUAAUUCACAUUUGUAAUGGUUUCUCUCAGGUGGCUUAUUGAAUUCUUCUUUUAAAUAUAUUUGGGCUUUUGCAUGUGUAUGCCUUGACAAAAUGGAUUUAUAUUAUAUUAUAUAAAUACUCUAGAUAAACUAUGAAAAUUAUCUCAAAUUCAAAAAAAUAGUUUCUAAAGAUAUAUUUUUAAG
rnacentral:lncRNA from 1 species